rnacentral:rRNA from 1 species
ACUGAUUUGAUUUAAGGGCCGCGGUAUAUUGACCGUGCGAAGGUAGCAUAAUCAUUAGUCUUUUAAUUGGAGGCUUGUAUGAAUGGUUGGACAAAAAGUAAGCUGUCUCGGCUAUAAGAAUUGAACUUAACUUUUAAGUGAAAAGGCUUAAAUGACUCAGGGGGACGAUAAGACCCUAUAAAGCUUGACAAUAACUUAGUUAAAUUAUAAAUUGUUAGUAUAACUUGAUUUUAGCCAGGGUUUGUUUCGUUGGGGCGACGAGAAUAUAAUGAAUAACUGUUCUUUUAAAUAUAAUUACAAAGAUAAUUGGUGAGCGAUUGAUCCCUCUAAUAGAAGA